rnacentral:tRNA from 1 species
GGCACCAUGGCCAAAAGGCGAAGGCACGAGUCUGCAAAACUCUGAUUACGGGUUCGAUUCCCGUUGGUGCCUCCA